UGGGGAAAUAUUGGACAAUGGGCGCAAGCCUGAUCCAGCCAUGCCGCGUGAGUGAUGAAGGCCUUAGGGUUGUAAAGCGCUUUCGCUAGGGAAGAUAAUGACUGUACCUAGUAAAGAAGCCCCGGCUAACUUCGUGCCAGCAGCCGCGGUAAUACGAAGGGGGCUAACGUUGUUCGGAUUUACUGGGCGUAAAGCGUACGUAGGCGGAUUAGAAAGUUAGGGGUGAAAUCCCGAGGCUCAACCUCGGAACUGCCUCUAAAACUCCUAGUCUAGAGAUCGGGAGAGGUGUAUGGAACUCCUAGUGUAGAGGUGGAAUUCGUAGAUAUUAGGAAGAACACCAGUGGCGAAGGCGAUACACUGGCCCGAUACUGACGCUGAGGUACGAAAGCGUGGGGAGCGAACAGGAUUAGAUACCCUGGUAGUCCACGCCGUAAACUAUGAGAGCUAGCCGUUGGGAAGUUUACUUCUCAGUGGCGCAGCUAACGCAUUAAGCUCUCCGCCUGGGGAGUACGGUCGCAAGAUUA
rnacentral:rRNA from 1 species